UACGGGGGGGGCAAGCGUUGUUCGGAGUUACUGGGCGUAAAGGGCGCGUAGGCGGUUCGCUAAGUCGGAUGUGAAAACUCUGGGCUCAACCCAGAGCCUGCAUCCGAAACUGGCGGGCUAGAGUUCUGGAGGGGGUAGCGGAAUUCCUGGUGUAGCGGUGAAAUGCGUAGAUAUCUGGAGGAACACCGGUGGCGAAGGCGGCAUCCUGGACCGACACUGACGCUGAGGAGCGAAAGCCAGGGGAGCAAACGGG
rnacentral:rRNA from 1 species